CGCGUGGGAACGUGCCCUUUGCUACGGAAUAGCCUCGGGAAACUGAGAUUAAUACCGUAUACGCCCUGGUCAGUUUUGAGAUGACAGCGGGCAGAUGACAGGAGUUUCUGGUGCGACCAUUUGGUUGGACCGGGGAAUUUCUGUGAUCUGUGAUCUGUGAUCUUUAGACUGAUCAGGGGAAAGAUUUAUCGGCGAAGGAUCGGCCCGCGUUGGAUUAGGUAGUUGGUGGGGUAAUGGCCUACCAAGCCGACGAUCCAUAGCUGGUUUGAGAGGAUGAUCAGCCACACUGGGACUGAGACA
rnacentral:rRNA from 1 species